CGUGUAGGCGGAGGUGCAAGUUGGGAGUGAAAUCCCGGGGCUCAACCCCGGAACUGCUUUCAAAACUGCAUCCCUUGAGUAUCGGAGAGGCAAGCGGAAUUCCUGGUGUAGCGGUGAAAUGCGUAGAUAUUAGGAAGAACACCAGUGGCGAAGGCGGCUUGCUGGACGACAACUGACGCUGAGGCGCGAAAGCGUGGGGAGCAAACA
rnacentral:rRNA from 1 species